CUACGGGAGGCAGCAGUGGGGAAUAUUGGACAAUGGGCGCAAGCCUGAUCCAGCCAUACCGCGUGGGUGAAGAAGGCCUUCGGGUUGUAAAGCCCUUUUGUUGGGAAAGAAAUCCAGCCGGCUAAUACCUGGUUGGGAUGACGGUACCCAAAGAAUAAGCACCGGCUAACUUCGUGCCAGCAGCCGCGGUAAUACGAAGGGUGCAAGCGUUACUCGGAAUUACUGGGCGUAAAGCGUGCGUAGGUGGUCGUUUAAGUCCGUUGUGAAAGCCCUGGGCUCAACCUGGGAACUGCAGUGGAUACUGGGCGACUAGAGUGUGGUAGAGGGUAGCGGAAUUCCUGGUGUAGCAGUGAAAUGCGUAGAGAUCAGGAGGAACAUCCAUGGCGAAGGCAGCUACCUGGACCAACACUGACACUGAGGCACGAAAGCGUGGGGAGCAAACAGGAUUAGAUACCCUGGUAGUCCACGCCCUAAACGAUGCGAACUGGAUGUUGGGUGCAAUUUGGCACGCAGUAUCGAAGCUAACGCGUUAAGUUCGCCGCCUGGGGAGUACGGUCGCAAGACUGAAACUCAAAG
rnacentral:rRNA from 1 species